rnacentral:lncRNA from 1 species
UGUUUUAGACUCUCUCUUUGGCCCAGUGAUGCAUGUCUAAUUUUGAACUUCAUUCCAUUAAUUACUAGAGAAAGUUAAGCUGUGUUUACAUGUGCCGUUUGCCCAAACUGCUGUCUUGUGUAAAAUGAUAAGGAUCUGUGAUCCGUUUGGCCAAACAGUGGCAUUGAUCAGUUCAGUUUUUGGGAUGGGAGCAGUUUUGGGAGACGAUUUGUGGGGAUAUUUUGUAGAUGAUGAUUGCAUGUUGAUUGAGGAUAUAAAAAAAGAAAGGUGCUGCAAGAAAAAAAAAAGAAAAAAAAAAAGAAAAAAAAAAAGAAAAAAAAAAAAAAAAGAAAAAAGAAAGUUGCACCAGUUUGAGUUGAGCAUGUAGUAUCAUUGUUAUUGUUGGAGUUUUUCCCCGAAGUUUAGUUGCUUUCUUUCUUUCUCUAUGAACUUGAAAUUGUGGAUGAUGGUUUGGAUUAGAUGUGCACACUUUGAUCUUCACUGCUUGAGCUUAGGACCCCUAGGAUCUUGCCAACAUAAUGAAUGGUCCUUAGCCCCAUUACAACCAAUGAGAAAAGACCUUCUUGAGUUGCUAUGUGACCAUGACAUAUCACGACUAAGUGGAUUUUCCUUCUUGUGUGUGAAUUUCCAAAAUAAAUAUUUGAGAGAAGAGUGAAUCUUGAGAGGAACUUGUUGUUGCUUGAUUUGGACUAGAUAGACAAUGAAAACACUUGUUUGACAUUUCCUUUUCUUGAUUUGAGAGUUGAGAAUCGAUUGUGAGUUGCAUGGUUCGAUUUGGCAGUAUGUCAUGUUACUAGUGUUUUGAUGAUUACUUGGCUGUCGUUUUCUGUUAAGUUUUAGUGUUCUCGUCUUUUCUGUUCCUUUUUCCGUUUGAUUUUGUGUUCGUUGUUUCGUUAUUUGCUUUUAGAGUCUUUAGUGUCGUGUCAAGGAAGGAAGUUGUCUCUAGUGGCUGAUUUUCACCAUUGAAUUCUUCUUUUAUGUCAUACUUGAGGACAAGUAUGAUCUAAGUGUGAGGGGAUUUGAUGUGUGCAUUUUAGUUACUUAGUUUGGUGUGUGUUUCGCCAUGAUUUUAUAUGAUUUUACAUGGUUUGUGAUAUUUUGGCGCAGGAAUUAGAUGGAUUGGAGAUGGAUGCUCGUGGAUGGAAGAAGUUGGUGAAAGUUUAGAAUUAUGGAAGAAGUUGAUUGAUUUUGAAGAUGUUUAG